GCCCGGAUAGUUUAAUGGUUAGAACGUGGGUCUCAUACAACCCCGGGUGUGAUCGAACUCUAAAGUUCGGGCCAUCCCAAGAUCUGAGUUCGAUUCUCAGUCCAGGCA